rnacentral:lncRNA from 1 species
CACAAAAGGCAAAGUCACUGCCAAAACUAAUAAAAGAGGAAAACAACGAAACUCUAGUAACCAAUCUGACCAAUAACGAUUGACCAUAGAUGAUCAACCCACUUUGGGGGGAAUUAUUUGUAUAAGGAAACUAAUAUGGAGACUCGCCACGAAGACCAACCUAGAAGACUGAACCAACACGAAGAGGGAGACCUCUAGAUCUCCAUUUGGCGAUCAAUUGCGAUCUCUUCCCACACAGCCCUCUAACCUCGAAAUAAGGAAAACACGUGUCAAAGCCGAAAGCACGAACCGUUGCUAAAGUCAGAACCAUGCUUUCCCUUAGCUAGGACAAGACUAGAAGUGCCAUCCCCUAGAUAGCUGCUAGAAGGAAAGCUAGAAAGGUGAUUAUGGCAACCUCGGCAAUGCAUAAACUUGUUCCUCGAUGCGAAAGCAGACAUCCUGCGCAAGACAGCAGGCUUUGACCAAUCAAGAGAAAGCCUACCAAGUGAAUACACAGGGGAGACUGUGGAAGAUCCUUAUAUACAUUCAAGGAGAACAAUGAGGAAGGUAUGCAAUUAUAACCUAAUAGUCAAUAUCAAUUUUCUGCUUCAGAAUCCUCACUGACUUUACCAUCGGAAUGUACAAUCUGGUCUCCUACCAACCUCUCAUUUCGUAUUUGUUUAUCUUACAUGACCGAGCAUAUUAACUAACUAAGAUUAUUUCUAACCUUGCUAUACAACUUUGAUUCUUUUGAUUUUGCUUUUUGGCCUGCUAUCCCUUUAGACAUUUUAUACUCGUUACUGUUGGAGUAUUUUAAUAGAAUUAACUUUAGCUUGAUAAAGAAAAGAGAAAUUAUAUGCUUGGCUUGUCAACCCUCCGUAUUGACAUUUUUAAAAUGAAAAGUUG